rnacentral:rRNA from 1 species
UCCAGACUCCUACGGGAGGCAGCAGUGGGGGAUAUUGCACAAUGGGGGGAACCCUGAUGCAGCGACGCCGCGUGGGUGAAGGAGCGUUUCGGCGCGUAAAGCCCUAUCGGCAGGGAAGAAGGAGGACGGUACCUGACUAAGAAGCCCCGGCUAACUACGUGCCAGCAGCCGCGGUAAUACGUAGGGGGCAAGCGUUAUCCGGAUUUACUGGGUGUAAAGGGGGCGCAGACGGCAGCGCAAGCCAGGAGUGAAAGCCCGGGGCCCAACCCCGGGACUGCUCUUGGAACUGCGCGGCUGGAGUGCAGGAGGGGCAGGCGGAAUUCCUGGUGUAGCGGUGAAAUGCGUAGAUAUCAGGAGGAACACCGGUGGCGAAGGCGGCCUGCUGGACUGCGACUGACGUUGAGGCCCGAAAGCGUGGGGAGCAAACAGGAUUAGAUACCCCGGUACG